UUCCAGGCUUUUAUUAUUAUUUUAUUUUUUGUGCAAUGCCAGAAGAUAUUUAGAUGAAUUUUUUUAUAUAACACAUUGUUACAGAGCAAGAGUAACGUUCAUGGCAAUUUACCCAUUUUUGAGAUAGGUAUGGCCACUGAAUUUAGAAGAUAUGAAAAUUUAUUUGACCCAGUAGGCAACAAUUAUUGCUUUAGCUUCAGAAUGUUUGUUUUUAUUACUAUUAACUGUCAUUAUCAUUAUUUUUACUACAGGAGUAUUAUGCAUACACACACCGUUUGCGAAAGAAGUGGCUUAAAAAAGUCAUUAGAAGGGAGGGCCUUCAGCGGCAAUUGCACGCCUUAGAGGAACCUGGAGACUUGGAUGGCCUGCCCGAGAAAGUCGCACACCGUCUGCCAACCAUAGAAGAGGAAACUCCAGAUGACAUCAGGUUGUGGUGGAUUGAGGAACCAAUCAGAAUUGAAGA